CGUGGCAUUGUAACGGUAACAGUCUGUGCAUAAGUUCUAUCACGAAUACUACUUGUUAAGGACAAAACAAUGUAAAUAAAAAUCCGUAUCUUUUCCGUGCAUUGAUUUUUAUAUUAUCGUUGUGAUAGUGAAUGAGAUAAGAUUAUUGAACGAUUGUCGACACAACGAGUUUCGACUUUGAGUUGUUAAUACCUUUUCUGUGUUAAUAGUUUAUAAAAAAGCAAAAUGUGUUGCUGCGUCUGUAAUCUUCUAUGCAAAAUCCUCAGUGCAAUCUUCUCUUUAUUAUUCUUAGUUGCUGUAAUACUACUCAUAUUAUGGGGAGUCGGAGUAAUUUUUCAGUAGCACAAAUUAAAACCUUCAAGAUAAUGGUGACGUAGAAGAAGUUAUUUACAUUCUGUGACUGUGAAGUAAUUAAUGAUUUUUU